CGCUCGCGGCGGCCCCCGCUUUGUCUGCCAAAAGAGCGGGGCGCGGGCCUCGGACACCCGGGCACAACUGAGCAAACAAAGGACGCGCCCGGUGCAGCAGAUGCCGGCACAAGUCUCUGCUCUAGUGGGCUGCGAAUGCAACCUGGGGCGGGGAAUCCGCUUUCUGGAGUGUCCCCGCCCUCCUGAACAAUGGCUAGCCCGCGCGGCACCCGCACAAGGCCUCUUGGAGAGGAGGAGUGAGCCUGGCCGCCUAUCAUAUGUGGAUGCAUGCAAGGCAAGCUCUGGCAUCUUCUACAGACAACUCUAGGAUUAUCAGGACUACAGUUAAAACAAAUCUGCCCAGGAAAGAGCAGUGAGAGACAACUCACAGAAAGGGAAACGCAAAUAAUUAAGAAGCACGAUAUAUAUAAGCAGCUAAAGUAAUCAAAGAAUUGCAAAUCAAGGC
rnacentral:lncRNA from 1 species